rnacentral:rRNA from 1 species
UACGGAGGAGGCAAGCGUUAUCCGGAAUUAUUGGGCGUAAAGCGUCCGCAGGUGGCUAUUCAAGUCUGCGGUCAAAGGCUGGGGCUUAACCCUGGAAAGGCCGUGGAAACUGAAGAGCUAGAGUGCAGUAGGGGUAGAGGGAAUUCCCGGUGUAGCGGUGAAAUGCGUAGAGCUCGGGAAGAACAUCGGUGGCGAAAGCGCUCUGCUGGACUGCAACUGACACUCAGGGACGAAAGCUAGGGGAGCGAAUGGG